AGGCGACGGGCCGCGAGCGCUCCCGAGAGGCUUUGCGGGGCUCGGAAGCUUCUGCCCGCGCGGAGAUAAACAAGCACCGCGACCGCCGAGCAGCGCCGAACCCAGCGCGCCCAGUCAGACCCCAGGGCCUGUGUACCGAGCAUGCGCAGUUCCCGCCCAAGCCAGGAGCAGCGUCAACCUGAGACUCCCGAGACAUUAAGAAUUCGGAAGGGAUGAGAUGGUAGAGGGGCUAGAGCUACCUCCAAGCUUUAUCCUGAGGCGGGGAGUGAAGGAGAGAUGCCCAAGGCCCAAGAGGGGCCGCGAGGGCCUUUGUCCGAUGCCACCCAGUCUGUCAGCACUCCUAGAGCUUUGGUUUUAUCUUGUAUUAGCAUGUGAAGCUUUAAGGGGGGGGCACCUACAGGCUUCUGACUGAAGUUGUGUAAACGCAACAAAAUGAAGCUUUGGAGCGUUAGGACAUUGAUGGGAGGGUGACGCCCCCCUCUAGCAGCGCGCCAGAGGGGCGAGUCAGAGGCGGCCACACACCACGGAAGUCGGGUCCAAGCCCGCUGACGUCGCCGGGGUCCCGCCCACCAACCCUCUGGACCCGCCCACAUUUCUUCUAGACCCGCCCCUUUCGGUGCCGAACUGAAGUCGAGCUCUUCCCACGCCCUGUCAGCCACGGGUGAGUUGAAAACCUGGAGAGCGGAAUCCCGAACGGCAGCCGGAAGGCCCUGGACUCCUCAUAGCAACAGCCAGCUAGGGGCAUCUAGUGGGAAGCUGGGAUUCAUUCUAGCCAACCACAUCACGUCUCUGUACCACAAGGUACCAUUCACGACCAAUAAGAGAGCGCCCCCAUACCACGUGCCUUUACUCCUUCAACCAAUCGAGAAAAACGCUAGUCGUAGGAUCCGCAAGCCCACCUCCCAGUGCCUUGCCAGGCGGGGCUCUUCGCGCACGCUCUGCCAACCAAUCGUAGGUGAGCUGGCGAGUGACGGAAGCUUCGGCCAAGCCAACCAGAGCUCGCGAGCCCCUUGCCACCGAGGCCGGCGGGAUGGAGACAGGGACCGGCUGCUGGGGUUUGGGAGGGGCAGAGAUUGAGGAGCCAGUUGCUGUGCCCUGUUCUGGCAAAAGAACAAGAUGCGUUGCAAGCCAGAAUGAUGAAUUCCACUUUUCACGUCGCCUCCGUGGCAUUCUGCCUAAAUGAUGGGCAUGGAAAUGGUGCUGAGGGAUGUGGGCUGAAUCGAGAACACAGGGACUUUUGUCUUCAGGGUGAGAAAUGUUCCGGUCCUUAAGGAAACAUCGUGCAGCAGUUGCAUGGGUCUUCCAGGCGUUCCUCCCAAAACAUUAUUUUUUUUCUUUCACUAUUGAGUUUUAAAACUUAGCGUUCUGUCGCUAGCAUUGCAUCUUAGUUACACAUCCUCUCCCACCCAUAACGUCAAAUUUAGGAGACGAUACAUCCCCAAGCUUUCCUGCAUUAUUUUUUGCAGUAACUGGUUAUUCAGUUUACUUUCUUUAAACUAUGUCCUUCUCAAACUAGUCUCACCUGUUCGUUACUGUCGCACAUUUCCUGCGAAUAACACGUUUCUGUAGUUCUGUUGUUAGAGCCUGGCAUACCUCUCCCCGUUCCUCUUUCCCACAAGGUCAUCAUGCAGAGGGGAUUUUGGUCUGAGUUAAAAGCCAGGUAUUCUUUCACCAUCUUUUCUGUCGAUAGUCAAACUACUACAAAGACUACUCAAAUUUAGUAGUUUCUUAUUUCCCUAUAGCUUCGUUAUAUUAGAAUGGAUAACUUAUAUUUGCAUUACCUUGCUGUAAUGAACACACACCAAGUUUUCAUUUAAAAUUAUCAAGGACAAAUGUCCUCUGAAUUUAAAAAUGUGUAUGUAGUAAAAUAUAACUCAGCAUUUCUUGAUUACAUAUCAUUAAAAUAUGAAUGGUACUAUCUGAGCCACCAGAAUCAGCAGUGAAGGUAUUAUAUUAAUAAAAAGGACUAAGAAUCAGGACUGUUUUAAGGGAACUGGAACCGAAGAGGAUCUACUAUUUCAUCCUAGGCUAGUUAACAUGAAAUAGUGAAUUAAAAUUGAAAGAGCUUACAUGGAUGCUUCAUAUCUGAGCUACUUUGGCAGGGAUGUUUCAAGAGGAUGUAGGGAACAGUGUGUUCUGUACUAAAGGAAAACCCCUGCUUGGAACAAAGGUGUUGCUGAGUAGUUCUGCCAGAGACUUUCAUUUCAAAGGCAGAAUUUUAUUUCACAGGAAAUGUGAAUCUGAAAGUAUUUUACUAGUAAUUAGCUUUUAAAAUAGCAAGUGACUUCAUGUUCUUCAUUUAUGCUUGGAAGCUGGACAUGGAAUUUGUGGGGAAUUUUUCUGACUUUUGUGAAAUUGUUAGGGACACGCCAUAUUCUAGCUAAGAAAUAAAGAUGUACCAAACUCGGCUUUCACCUGAGACAUCACCCACUGCCUACGGAACAGUCCUAAGGCGAUGGUGAGCCAAGAUAUUAAGGGAUAUCAACUAAGUGUCCUGAGUUGGUGAUGUUCUAGCGGGGACCCCAGCUCCUUGUACUUUCAUCCUCAUCUCCAGUGAAAUUCUCACAGGAUUCAUCAUCAUGACAGCACUCGCUAAGUGUUCAAUCUUCUUGUCCUCAUUUGUAGAUGGUAAAACUGAGACACAGAGAGGUUAAAGGUCUGGCCAAAGGCUCACAGUUAGUAACUAGUGGGAGACAAGAUUGGUGCCUAGGCAAUCUGACCUCAAAGCCACUUCUCUUCCCAUAUUUGAAGACAUUAAACUGGGACAUUGGCGUGAGUGACUGAUAUAGACAGAUUCUGUCACAUCCCUGGCUGCUGUUAUCACUGGUAUGUCAUCUGGUUCAUAAAAACCUCAUUUACAGCUCCCCAGUCUUUCUUUCCCUGUAUGUUGUUGGAUGCUCACAAUAACUUUGGAAGUCACAAGUUGAACAGGAUGGCAUCUCCAUCAGUGGGCCCACAAGUGACUUGGUGGAGUAGAGCCCCAUCUCUCACCUAUUUCCCAUUAAAUUAGCUUUACCUGCUAAGAAACAAAUUCUUUUGUUAAGCCACUGAGAUGUAUCUAUUACAACAAAUAAGAUUAUCUUAAUUAAUGCAUAUUAAUUUUAAUCUUGGAAAUCUGAUAAACAUUUAUUAAUCUUAAUAUUUACCUGUUGAUUCUUUAUUUUCUGCAUGCAAAUGAUAUUACCUGGUAAUAAUGAGCUUUGCUUAUAUUCUUUUCUAUAUUUUACACAUUUUAUUUCUUUUUCUUAUACUACAGUACUAGCUGAUGUCUCCUGUGCAAUGUUGAAUAAAACCAGCUAUGGUGUACCAUUUGCCUUGGUCUUGAUAAGGAAGGGAGUUAUUUAACAUUUUACCAUUAGCUGCUGUUCUUGGUGUAGGUAUUUUGUAUAUAUUCUUUACAAUAAUAUGAAAGUUCUCUUAUUACUAGUUUGUAAAGAGAUUUUAUCAUAAAUGGAUGUUAUUUAACGAUGUGUUUGCAUCUUUGGAAAGAUGUUUUUUCUCCAUGAAAUUGAUA
ensembl:lncRNA novel transcript